GUGCCGUAAAAUAAAAUAACAUAAAUAUACAGUUUAUCAUUGUUAUCUUCUUUUUUUUUAAGACUUGAAAUACAUUUAUUGAAAAUCACCUGAAUAUAAUUUACCUUGUAUAACCCAGGAAAGUAUACACAAGGGGCCCUGUGUUUACAAUGAUCCAACGUCAAGGGAUAAACGUUGGACUCUAUUAUAAAAAAAAAUCUAUUUUAUAUUUUUUGCAUCAGACUUUUACAUUUUGGUCCUGUCAAAGCCGACUGUAAAAAUUGUUAAUGUGUGAUCCCAGCUUUAUAUCGCAUGAACUCCCGAAGAAGCCACACCAGUUGUGCAUGGAUUCAUCCUCAUGUAAGUUCAUACUUAGUCAAAAUGUCGGAAUCUAGAAUAUGAGAUAAUCAGUAAAAAUGAAGACGAGACAAUUGGUCUUGUAUUUAGAUCUUAACGACUGUGUAAUUUUUUUUAGCUCUAAUUCUUUAGGAAUAUACUUUCUAAAACAUUAUGUUUUCUGAUCGAUAAUUUCCUAACGUUUUCAUGCAUCUUUAGGUUUCAACGUGUUUUUUUAUGAAUCUUAAACUAGGAGAGCGCUUUUGAAAUAUAUGUACAUAGAAGUGAAGUCCCAUUCUUAAGUAAACACUAGGAUCGAGUACAAUAUUGCUUUUAUGUUUUAUUUUGGUUUUGUGUUACGUAUCAAUUAUGAAAGGUAAACAUAUAACUAUUGUUUUAACUAAAAUAUAAAGUGUUUUCUUGAUUAAGACAUACUUGUGUAGUUUUUGUUGCCAAACAUCUCAUAUUACAUGUCUUUAAUUGUUUUGAAAUAUUAACUGUAACCUUCGUUUUCAGCCUCGUGUUCCUUGUUAAAAAUAAACUAAUGUACAUUACCAAAGAAAAUAUCAUGAUUCAAGAGCUUAUUCAAUAAAAUAACUGCACUACUUUAAGUUAUCGGGUUGAAUAUGUUUUAAGAUUAAAAUAACUUUCUAUCAUUUUUAGACAAUUUCAGAAACAUUCGAUUUUCUUUUUCAUUGAAUGGGUUUAUUGUCAUCUUUUCUUUUCCUUCGUUUUUCUUUUUUUUCUUAAAUGUUCUAGCUUACUCAUUAUACAAACCAGUAGCUAUGGUAGUUCUAAUCUCAUAACUCCAUCAUAAGUAUACAAACACUGCUGUGAACAAUAAAGUAGUUAUUGUGUGAAUUCAAAUAUCUGAAAUAACUUUUUAGUCAGAGAUCUGCGUUAUUUUCGAUAAUUAUCGAGAUCAUUAUUCAAAUUUAGAUCACGAACUCCUUCGUGUUUAAGGCAUAAUCUGACUUUGAAUUGAAAGAAAAAAAACAUUGCUGUUAAUUUUUUUUUAAUUCUAUUGUGUGUUUUUUUUUUUUUGUUGAACAUGUCUUGAUUCGGUGUCAUGGGUAGUGUGCUAUUCUUAUACUACCUGGUUAUAUUUUUUUUUUGUAUUUACCGUACGGUUUGCCGAAAUUUCAAUACAUGACUAUUAAUGCAGUUAUGCUUUUUCUUUUUUUGUCUGCAACAUUACGAUUAGCAAUUGCAUAAACUUCAAAUAUCUGAAUUACCUGUUAAUAAAAACGUGGAUUUUUUUUUUUGGUCAAAUAUCUUCGUUAUUCUCUUUAAUUUUCGAGACCUUCCUUCAACUCCGGACCAACUACUGGUAUGCAUUCAUUUUGCUGAAAUUUCAAUACAUCACACGCGAUUCAGUUAUGCUUCAUGUUGGUGUUUUUAUAAUGUUUUAUCUGAAACAUAAAGCUUACAUAUUUUAGACGAUCAAUUGGACAUACUCAUUAAGAACAGUUCAUCCUAAACUUGCGUUCAGAUUUCGUCACUAUUUUCGAAGAUUUAAGACACUUUCAUAUAUUUAGUAAAAAAAACAACAUGUAUUACUUUAAACAUCGUUUUUGCGUUUUAUUUGGGUUCUUUUUACGUGAAAAUAAAACACAAUAAACACGAAAUUGUCGUUUUCAAUUGUUUUUAAACGGUGCGUUUAUAUGUAGGCUAGUUUGGGUGAUACCUCCUUACGUCUUUUCUUAAAACCCUUUUUCUGAAUCUGAUAGACUAUACACUUGGAGAAGAUCACAAUUAUUCUUACAUGUAUUUGUCACUUUUUUCUCUGUAAAAUAUUAACGAAUUUAAAUUGUCAAAGAACAUACCAUUCAUCGAACAAAUGAUCAACAUGUAUUUUUGUUUUGAUACCGCUUUUUUUUUAAUUGUAAUAAACAUUCAUCAAUGAACUAGUAUGUGCAUGAUUGAUUUUGUAGUGUAGUGUCUGAAACUUAAAACAUCCAUAUCUUUCUGACGGUUAAUUCGUAAACUCGUUGAACCAUUAUACGUUAAGAUCUCGUUAAUAUGUUUAACGCUGUUAUAAGGUUGUAUGUUUAAAUUUUAGAUAUAUUAAU
rnacentral:lncRNA from 1 species